GCCAGGUGUGGUGGCUCACACCUGUAACCCCAACACUUUAGGAGGCCAAGGCAGGCAGAUUGCUUGAGCCCAGGAGUUCGGGACCAGCCUGGGCAACAUGGUGAAUCCUCAUCUCCACUAAAAAAAAAUUAUCCAGGUGUGUUGGUGAGGGCCUGUAAUCCCAGCUACUUGGGAGGCUGAGAUGAAAAGAUUGCUUCAGCGCAGCAGGUGGAUGUUGCAGUGAACAAAGAUGAUGUCACUGUACUCUGUACUCCAGCCUGGCCUACAGAGCAAGACCUUGUCUUG
ensembl:misc_RNA Metazoa_SRP Metazoan signal recognition particle RNA